GACGAACGCUGGCGGCGUGCUUAACACAUGCAAGUCGAACGGAAAGGCCCUGCUUUUGUGGGGUGCUCGAGUGGCGAAAGGGUGAGUAACACGUGAGUAACCUGCCCUUGACUUUGGGAUAACUUCAGGAAACUGGGGCUAAUACCGGAUAGGAGCUCCUGCUGCAUGGUGGGGGUUGGAAAGUUUCGGCGGUUGGGGAUGGACUCGCGGCUUAUCAGCUUGUUGGUGGGGUAGUGGCUUACCAAGGCUUUGACGGGUAGCCGGCCUGAGAGGGUGACCGGCCACAUUGGGACUGAGAUACGGCCCAGACUCCUACGGGAGGCAGCAGUGGGGAAUAUUGCACAAUGGGCGGAAGCCUGAUGCAGCAACGCCGCGUGCGGGAUGACGGCCUUCGGGUUGUAAACCGCUUUCACCUGUGACGAAGCGUGAGUGACGGUAAUGGGUAAAGAAGCACCGGCUAACUACGUG
rnacentral:rRNA from 1 species